GAAAGUCUCUUUCCUACGCACUCACAGCACACACACUUCUCCCCUUUUAACCACAAAAGAAAAGAAAUAGCAAAGAUGAACACUGCAAAAACACAAAUACCCUCCAAAAAUCAAGAUUCCGGCCAAGACCCACCAAAGCUCGUGACUUCCACCGAAGAGAAAACCAAGAACGAAAACGAAGCCAACCCAGAAGAAGACACAAUCAGAGAAUCCAAAAGGAGAAAAAUCUGCCCAACAGCACUGGAGAAAAUCGAACAAGUCUCAUCAUCAAAUCAAAAUUUUUCCUUCACUUUCGACACCAAAUUAAAUGGAACUGCUACCCAAUUCACC
rnacentral:misc_RNA from 1 species